UACGUAGGGGGCAAGCGUUGUCCGGAAUUAUUGGGCGUAAAGCGCGCGCAGGCGGUUCUUUAAGUCUUGUGUUUAAGCCCGGGGCUCAACCCCGGUACGCAUGGGAAACUGGGGGACUGGAGUGCAGGAGAGGAAAGUGGAAUUCCACGUGUAGCGGUGAAAUGCGUAGAGAUGUGGAGGAACACCAGUGGCGAAGGCGACUUUCUGGCCUGUAACUGACGCUGAGGCGCGAAAGCGUGGGGAGCAAACAGG
rnacentral:rRNA from 1 species